CAAGGACUGAAUCAGAGACAAAAAACAGGAUGCCAUCAAACUCAUAAAAGUUUUUCUUUUUCUGAAUGUGUUCAUUUAGCCACAGAUGCCUAAUCCGUGCAGCAUAACUGGCUAAAUGUUAUAUUUACAUAACAGAAAUGACACGAGUCACAUUUUUUGGGAUGCAUUUAUGCAAGAAUGGCCUCUCUCUGGUGGCAUAUCAAGCUUUGGUGGAAGCUGCCUGGAUGUUGAUGGAAGCUUUGCAAAGGGCAAGGGAAAGUUUUGUGCUACAGUGGGGACUGAAGCAGACCAGUGAUUUCCAGCAUCCUGGAGAAAAAUAACAGAGCAGAGGAGAGUAUUUCUUUGAAACACAGACCACUGAAACAGCAGAGAGAAGGAAGAGUAAGGCAACAUGGAAAGCUGAUAGCAUGCAGUCUGCAGGCCAAAAUCAUGAUUUGUUAACCUAUAACUCAGGAAGAAGACAAAGAAGGGAACUAUGGUUUAUGACUAGCUGCCAAGAGACAACUGAGUAUGUGCUUAUGCAAUAAAUUCUGUAUUAAUUCUCUGUAGGUAGAAGAU
rnacentral:lncRNA from 1 species